UCCUGCCUCUCAACAACCUCUUUGGAC
rnacentral:piRNA from 1 species